UUGACAAACAAGCUGUCAGACUGUCCCAGAAUAACGGCUAAAUCCUACACUCCAAGUUCAGAGCAAGGUUCGGGCGGUUCAGCUACCUCCCUGCAGGCUGAAGACGGAAGCAAAUGCAGAAACCGGCUCUGCCACCAACCCCUCCCUCCACACAGUCGACGCGAGAAGAGGGGCCGUCUCCCCACUCACGUUUCUGGGGAGGAGUUGCUUGUUUUUCCCAAGGCCAUCCAGAUCCUGGAAGAAUUCUCAUUUUUUAAAAAAGGGCAACCUUCCAAAAGGGUGACUAUCAUUUUUAUUCCUUUUGGGCCUGUCUGUUUCACCUGGGAAUUGGAGACGACCAGCUGUGGGUACUGAGCUCUUUACUAGCGGGCCACGCUGGAGCCAGAACCCAUCUAUGCCCGCGGCCCUGAGUGGUGCACAAGUGGCGGAACAGCAAUCGCUGCCACACUCAGCAGGACUGCAGCAAAUCAGGCUCAUGUGUUCUAGAGAAGGCCACAGAUAAGCUGAUGUAAUAGCAACUCUGCAUGGAGUUAUGGUCUGAAGAUCCGAUCACUGACACUUCCAGAAGCUCCCUCAUUUACAAAUUCUGAGAAAUCCCUGCCAAGACCAUCCUAUAGUUGACUACAGUCACCUCCACCCUUGAUCUUUGGAGACUGGGCCUCAUCAGCUAGAGUUUCUCCUGAAAUUGGUCAAACUCUCUUUGCUGUGGACUGCAACCUCAACUCAGU